rnacentral:rRNA from 1 species
GACGAACGCUGGCGGCGUGCUUAACACAUGCCAGUCGAACGGAAAGGCCCUGCUUUUGUGUGGUGCUCGAGUGGCGAACGGGUGAGUAACACGUGAGUAACCUGCCCUUUACUUUGGGAUAACUUCAGGAAACUGGGGCUAAUACCGGAUAGGAGCUCCUGCUGCAUGGUGGGGGUUGGAAAGUUUCGGCGGUUGGGGAUGGACUCGCGGCUUAUCAGCUUGUUGGUGGGGUAGUGGCUUACCAAGGCUUUGACGGGUAGCCGGCCUGAGAGGGUGACCGCCCACAUUGGGACUGAGAUACGGCCCAGACUCCUACGGGAGGCAGCAGUGGGGAGUAUUGCACAAUGGGCGGAAGCCUGAUGCAGCAACGCCGCGUGCGGGAUGACGGCCUUCGGGUUGUAAACCGCUUUCGCCUGUGACGAAGCGUGAGUGACGGUAAUGGGUAAAGAAGCACCGGCUAACUACGUG